rnacentral:rRNA from 2 species
UACCUCUGGUGGAGCUGUUGUCGCGCCAGCGGCAGUGCAGCAUAGCUAUGUACGGACGGGAUAACCGCUGAAAGCAUCUAAGCGGGAAACCCACCUCAAAACGAGUAUUCCCUUGAGAACCGUGGAAGACGACCACGUUGAUAGGCCGGGUGUGGAAGUGCGGCAACGCAUGUAGCUUACCGGUACUAAUCGUUCGAUUGGCUUGAUUGC